UCGAGCGUCUCGAACGGAGACGUUCUUUGUCAUAGCAUGAGUGUUGUAACGAACCCAAAUGGACAUUAAAACGUGCGAGAAAACUUAUUCAUGCAGCAAGACAUCUACAGCAACUUGAAGAAGCACCUGGAAUUCAUUUUCAGAUGUCCACGUCAUCAUGCGGCCGCGAUACCGAUGCCGUUAUCUGCAAGCUCCGGCCCGUUCUUCUUAUCACUCUUAUCAUUCUUCUUGUUUUAUUCCAGCCUUCGGAUAUCUGAUGCCUCCAUAUUAAUGUGUGAUAGGGCAGCAUAAUUCACGGAUGAGAUGGCAUAAUUAUAUGCGGGGGAUGUCUGCCUGGCAGUACAGCUCAAGUGAAAAAACGACAUCGAUUCUGCCCUCAUAGCCUUUUUUCUUAUUAAAAAAUCGGUAAAUAAUAAUACAAUAACGUAAUUUUAGGAACAGGUA